UGCCAGCAGCCGCGGUAAUACGGAGGGUGCGAGCGUUAAUCGGAAUUACUGGGCGUAAAGCGCGCGUAGGCGGCUUGGUCAGUCGGAUGUGAAAGCCCCGGGCUUAACCUGGGAAUUGCAUUCGAUACUGCCUGGCUAGAGUAUGGGAGAGGGAAGUGGAAUUUCCGGUGUAGCGGUGAAAUGCGUAGAUAUCGGAAGGAACACCAGUGGCGAAGGCGACUUCCUGGGCCAAUACUGACGCUGAGGUGCGAAAGCGUGGGGAGCAAACAGGAUUAGAUA
rnacentral:rRNA from 1 species